GGGGGGGGGGGGGGGGGGGGCUGGGGCAGGGAGGGCGGGGGGGGGGAGGAGGAGCUUGCUCCUCUGACGUUAGCGGCUGGCGGGUGAGUAACCCGUGGAUAACCGCCCUGUCAGCCUGGGCUAACUUCGGGACACCUGACAUAAUACGGGCGAAUAUGUUGAACCGCCUGUUUCAAUAGUGAAAGACUGUUUGUCUGUCACUUAUAGAUGUAUCCGCGUCGCAUUAGCUAGUUGGUAAGGUAACGUCUUACCACGGCAACGAUGCGUAGCCGACCUGAGAGGGUGAUCGGCCACACUGGAACUGAGACACGGUCCAGACGCCUACGGGAGGCAGCAGUAGGGACUCUUCAGCAAUGGGCGAAAGCUUGACGGAGCAACGCCGCGUGAGUGAUGAAGGUCUUCGGAUCGUAAAACUCUGUUAUUAGGGAAGAACAAAUGUGUAAGUAACUAUGCACGUCUUGACGGUACCUAAUCAGAAAGCCACGGCUAACUACGUG
rnacentral:rRNA from 1 species